CCUCUGUUCCAUAAGGUGUGUGUAGUGUGUGUGUGUAGUGUGUGUAGUGUGUGUGUUUCUCUUCACAGCCCCCUCUGUUCCAUAAGGUGUGUGUAGUGUGUGUAGUGUGUGUGUGUUUCUCUUCACAGUCCCCUCUGUUCCAUAAGGUGUGUGUAGUGUGUGUAGUGUGUGUGUGUUUCUCUUCACAGUCCCCUCUGUUCCAUAAGGUGUGUGUAGUGUGUGUAGUGUGUGUGUGUGUUUCUCUUCACAGUCCCCUCUGUUCCAUAAGGUGUGUGUAGUGUGUGUAGUGUGUGUGUGUUUCUCUUCACAGUCCCCUCUGUUCCAUAAGGUGUGUGUAGUGUGUGUAGUGUGUGUGUGUUUCUCUUCACAGCCCCCUCUGUUCCAUAAGGUGUGUGUAGUGUGUGUAGUGUGUGUGUUUCUCUUCACAGUCCCCUCUGUUCCAUAAGGUGUGUGUAGUGUGUGUAGUGUGUGUUGUGUGUGUGUUUCUCUUCACAGUCCCCUCUGUUCCAUAAGGUGUGUGUAGUGUGUGUAGUGUGUGUGUGUUUCUCUUCACAG